UCCCGGGGCUCAACCCGGAUCGCACUGGAAACUGGGUGACUUGAGUGCAGAAGAGGAGAGUGGAAUUCCACGUGUAGCGGUGAAAUGCGUAGAUAUGUGGAGGAACACCAGUGGCGAAGGCGACUCUCUGGGCUGUAACUGACGCUGAGGCGCGAAAGCGUGGGGAGCAAACAGGAUUAGAUACCCUGGUAGUCACGCCGUAAACGAUGAGUGCUAGGUGUUA
rnacentral:rRNA from 1 species